UACGUAGGGACCAAGCGUUGUUCGGAUUUACUGGGCGUAAAGGGCGCGUAGGCGGCGUGUUAAGUCAGCUGUGAAAUCUCCGAGCUUAACUCGGAACGGUCAGCUGAUACUGAUGUGCUAGAGUGCAGAAGGGGCAAUCGGAAUUCUUGGUGUAGCGGUGAAAUGCGUAGAUAUCAGGAGGAACACCGGUGGCGAAGGCGGUUCUCUGGGCAUGACCUGACGCUGAGGAGCGAAAGCUAGGGGAGCGAACGGG
rnacentral:rRNA from 1 species